UACAGAGACUGCAAGCGUUAUUCGGAUUCACUGGGCGUAAAGGGUGCGCAGGCGGCCGUGUGUGUGAGGCGUGAAAGCCCGGGGCUUAACCCCGGAAUUGCACCUCAAACUACAUGGCUAGAGCAUUGGAGAAGGGUAGCGGAAGUUCACGGUGUAGCAGUGAAAAUGCGUAGAUAUCGUGAGGAACACCAGAGGCGAAAGGCGGCUACCUGGACAAUUGCUGACGCUCAGGCAACGAAA
rnacentral:rRNA from 1 species